AGGCCUAUAGCUCAGUGGUAGAGCACGUGCUUGGCGUGCAUGAGGUCCUGGGUUCCAUCCCCAGUGCCUC
rnacentral:tRNA from 1 species